rnacentral:rRNA from 1 species
GCUUGUCUCAAAGAUUAAGCCAUGCACGUCUGAGAAUAAAGAGUUUUCUCUGAAUCUGCGAAUGGCUCAUUAUAUCAGUUAUAGUUUAUUUGAUAGUCCUUUACUACUUGGAUAACCGUAGUAAUUCUAGAGCUAAUACAUGCGUAAAGGGUGCUGAAAGGCAUCUGUGUUUAUUAGAUACAACCAACCCCUCGCGGGUUUAGGUGAUUCAUAAUAACCGAACGAACCGCGUUCAGCGGUGAUUCUUUCUACAUUAUUCCCUAUCAGCUUUCGUUUUUUGUGUAGUGGACAAAAAAGGCUUUGACGGGUAACGGAGAAUUAGGGUUCGAUUCCGGAGAGGGAGCCUGAGAGAUGGCUACCACAUCCAAGGAAGGCAGCAGG